GGGUCUUCAAGCUUCACAUCCAGAUCUGUGAAGAGUUCCUGAGAAUGGCAAAACUCCAAAGCUGUUGUCAGUUGUCAACGUAAAUGAGCCAUCAGUCAAAGAAUCAAGUCCCAAAUGAUGCCAAUCGUCCAGAUAAGAGUUGUGAUGAAGCAGAGGUGCACGCUGAGUUUGGCAGUUGCCAACUGAAAUUGUACAUAUGCCAUCAACCCGACACGAUUAGGAUUAUCAUAGAAGGACAGACCGUGGUCAGAGGUGUGCCAAACCUGUCGAAAGCAUAAUGCCUCCUGUUUGAACAUUGCUAUGCCCUCGUCCUCAAGUAUCCCUCAAAACUGGUGUAAACCUUUGAGAUGUAUAAAAGGCAUUUAGUGGGAUUGGAUCCCAUUCUUCCUAAACCAUCAUCCAAGUAUGCAAAUCUCCCCACCAAGUUGUCUUCAAUGAUUUCUCAAUGGGAUCUGGCAUUGUCUCAGAAUUUUACCAGUACUUUGAUUUAAAAUAAUUAGUCUUACAGAUUUAAUUUUUUUGAAAAGUGCCUUAAUUAAUGUGGACAUUGGACUGUAAAUAUAUAGAAAAACUGUAAUAAUUUUUGACAUUGCAGUUCCGGUAUGAUGCAAUGCGAUGUUAUGGCUCACAUUUACCUUUAUCUAAACAUUGCAGAUUGGGCAGUUUGGAUAUUUCACUUAACUGUUCAAAACAGAUUGAAAAUGCACUUAAACAGUGUUUGUUUUUUUAUUUUGUGUACGUGUGUGGCCACAUUUAUUGCUUGUUUUGUAGUCGCUGUAAAAAGUGACACUGGUUGACAUUGAAUAAAUGUUAUUGUCUUCGA